UACGGGGGGGGCAAGCGUUGUUCGGAAUUACUGGGCGUAAAGGGCUCGUAGGCGGCCAACUAAGUCGGAUGUGAAAUCCCCAAGCUUAACUUGGGAACUGCAUCCGAUACUGGAUGGCUUGAAUCCGGGAGAGGGAUGCAGAAUUCCAGGUGUAGCGGUGAAAUGCGUAGAUAUUCGGAAGAACACCAGUGGCGAAGGCGACUCACUGGACGACUGUUGACGCUGAGGUGCGAAAGCGUGGGGAGCAAACAGG
rnacentral:rRNA from 1 species